rnacentral:rRNA from 1 species
CAUGAUGGGUCGGACGUAAGUUCGAUCCUCAUGGCACACCGUCGUUGUGCGUCUUUGAUGCCCAUUAGGGCGUCUUGGUCGUUACUUUGACGUAACAAAACCCCGGCACUGGAUGUGCCAAGGAAAUUUAAAUUUAAGAAUGGCUCGUUCCAUGAAGCCCCGUUCGCGGUGUGCUCAUGGAGCGUGGCUUCUUUAUAGUCAUAAACGACUCUCGGCAACGGAUAUCUCGGCUCACGCAUCGAUGAAGAACGUAGAAAAAUGCGAUACUUGGUGUGAAUUGCAGAAUCCCGUGAACCAUCGAGUUUUUGAACGCAAAUUGCGCCCGAAGCCAUUCGGUUGAGGGCACGUCUGCCUGGGCGUCACGCAUCGCGUCGCCCCCAUCAUGCCAUCCUUGUGAUGCUUUGAUGGGGGCGGAUACUGGUCUCCCGUUCAUCACUGAGCGGUUGGCCAAAAUAAGAGUCCCAUUUGACGGGCACACGACUUGUGGUGGUUGACAAAACCGGAAUCGUGUCGUGUGUCUGGAUGAAAGGUGCAUCUUUAAAAACCCAAUGUGUUAUCAUUUGAUGACGCUUCGACCGCGACCCCAGGUCAGGCGGGACUACCCGCUGAG